rnacentral:tRNA from 2 species
GGCUGGAUGGCAGAAAGUGGUUAUGUAACGGCCUGCAAAGCCGUCUAUGCCGGUUCGAGUCCGGCUCCAGCCU